rnacentral:rRNA from 1 species
UACGGAGGAGGCAAGCGUUAUCCGGAAUUAUUGGGCGUAAAGCGUCCGCAGGUGGCACUUCAAGUCUGUCGUCAGAGACUGGGGCUUAACCCUGGAAAGGCGGUGGAAACUGAAGCGCUAGAGUGCGGUAGGGGUAGAGGGAAUUCCCGGUGUAGCGGUGAAAUGCGUAGAGAUCGGGAAGAACAUCGGUGGCGAAAGCGCUCUACUGGACCGCAACUGACACUCAGGGACGAAAGCUAGGGGAGCGAAUGGG